CCAAUUUUCCCCAAACUCCAGAAUCUUUAAAAUCAUCAUGACAUAGCAGAUUUACUUGUCUCUCUCUUAGCAUGAGAUUUAAUGAGUCAUUCUUGUUUAUUUUGAUUCCUGUAAUACUCACAAUUCAGGAAGAUAUUUUAAAUGGUAAAAGGAUAAUUGCUUGAUAUUCUAAUGUAGUGUGUAUAGGUGUAUGAAUAUAUAAAUAUAUACAUUUAUAUGUAUAAACAUUAGUUGCACUGAAAAGCCAGUAAGUGAGUUUAAAUAUAUGAUGCUUUUAAAAAUAUCAUAAUUCUAAGUAGAAAACCUGAUGUUUGUGUAAUGGCUUUACUAUGGGCUUUGGAAGCCACAGCCUCCACUUAUAUUGAUAAUUGAAUACAAUCUCUCUAAAUAUAUAACUAAAAUACUUUACAUUGCACAGCUCCUAAUUUUUUAUCUUUUAGGCUAUUCCAGCUAUCUAAACAAGCUCUUUUCACUGCGCAAAAUCAUAAUGUUCUGCUCCUAACUUUAAUUUUUCUUACUCAGAGUAGCACUGGGUGGUUUCACUUUGCACACUUUAAUGAGCAAGGAGAUACUCUCCACCCUUCCUGUAAGUAAGUUAGAGACCUCACUUUAUAAUAACUGGCAAUGGCUUUUUAGUGUCUAGCUCAGUUUUUGUUUUGUUUCUUAGUUUCAUUUCAGGAAAUAGACAAUUAUUUUACAUUUCUUUGCUGCCAAUUUCAGACUAGAUUUUUUCUUUUUUUUUUAAUGAUUUGUUUAAUUCCAUUUGUGUUUCCUAGCAACAAAUGGAACUUCUCUAACUAUGACCUUACAGUGAGAACUGGGGAUUUUCACAGCUAACCCACACUUCAUGCCUCUACAUUGAAAUGGAAUCUGACACUUUCUUUUCCUUCCAUUCUCAGUACCCCAGGCCAUUUCCUUCCUAUGCUGAGUUCAAAAGGAUGGACUGAGCUUUGUGUUCUGGCAGGAAGCAUUUUUACCCUCAAGCCAGCUGCCUGAUUUUGUCUUGUGAAGAUAUGCUUUCUGGCUUAAAUCAGCACAGAAGGAUAUACAAACUCCCAUGGCCUAUUCACAUUACCUCUAACCUCAGAUGAUGCCAAUGACAAUUACAAUUCUUAAUUAACUACCUGUAUGAUUGAUGAGCUAAGAGGUACUUCUGAUUCUGAGGCUCAGCAAGAGGUUUGAAUCUUCCUUCAGUACCAGACAAGUCAAAGGACAUUUACAAGUGAAACUCAAUUUCUUCUGUGGAAAUGAUUUUCCUGUAUGAUAAAGCUAUGUAGGAUAUACCUGUAUGCUUCCUUGAAUCUUCUGCACUGCAGCUUUUCAUUAAUAGGAGGAAAAUGGAGACUGCCUCAGAGAAAUCUGAGCUUUUUCAAAAUCCAGAAGUUAAGACCAUUAUUUUUGGUAGACCUAUAUUUUUAUGCUGCUUAUUAGCCUAUUCUGUUCCUGAUGAAAGACUGUACUUACAGUUCUCAUUGUGAUACUGAGUCCUUACAAGACAGGAGGAUAAAAAAAUCAUGUUUAAAUUAUCUAGCAAAAAUGCUCUUGUCUUGAUGGAAUCCACAUUACCUGCAAUGUUUUUUUUUACCUUAACCAUACUCCUUUCUUAUCUCUAAAGCACAGUAAACAGGUUUGUGCUUGAGAUUUGUGAUACCAAUAAAGAGGAAUUCUAUUUGGCAUUCUUAUCACCAAGUUUGAGGUUUUUCUCUUUCCUCCCUCUGCAUAAAUGGACAAACUAUACUUUUCUUAUUCCCACAGUCUUGUGAUAAAAUGUUAUAUGCUUUUUCUUCUGUUUUGACAAGUCCUCCUACCAGGAUAACUGACAAGGAAGACCUUGCUGUAAUCGACUUCUAACUUUAGUUGACAUAACACACAAAAAGAGUUCAGAAGUAGUUAUAUGUAAGAUUUUGUAUAUUCUACCUGUUAAAUAUUUGCAUUCUAAGCAAUGAAAUGUAGUUCCAUAUAAGUUUUUAUUUCCAAAUAGUUGUUAAGUAAACAUCAAUGUGCACUGUAGUGACACACUAGUUCUAACUUCAUGCUAACAAGCCGCAGGUACUCAAGGAGCAAUUGUGGUUCCAUACUCACAUUUAGACAACUUAAUGAAAUUAUAUACUGUAGUAGGUCAGAAGAUGUAAUGUGCAAAGAAAUAUGGUUGACUGUCAGUAUAUCAAAGAUAAUUGGUAAAGGCAUCUGCCAAAGAGAUCCUAGAUUAGAGUUUCUUCUUUGAACAAACAAACAAGCAAACAAGCAAACAAACAAUCAAAAAAUACAUUUAGAACAAAUACCAGCCCCAGAAACAUUUAUAGCUUAUAAAGUAAGCGAUUAGCUUUAUAAGAGAAGAUUUUGCUGGCAUAGCAAAUUUUUGAUUUAAGUUUUAUUUUCAGGAUCCUUUUAACAUUUGUCUAGCAGAGAUAAACAUAGUGUAGUUCUGCCAUUGGAGUUAUGAUUUAUACCAGCUGAUACAUCAACCUUUGUCUUGGAUUUAUUUCCAUUGAUUUCAUUCCAUCUGUUAUUUAGAAACAUUUCAAUUAUUUUACACGCUCAUCUAUCUAAAAUUAAGCUGAAGUUACAUAAACCCACAACCAAAUGCCUACAUAUAAGAUCAGCUUGAAGUUAUUUCUUUGUCUUUAGCUGUAACAAUUCUCCGAAAAACAAAUGGGUUCUCUUAUGGAAAACUGAUGAGAGAUUAAAAAACAAAAUGCCUGUUGCUGUUGAUUUCUCUGGAAGUACUGCCUCCUAUUUUAUUAUAUUGGCCCACAAAGUUAAUGGCAGAUGUUGGUGGUAUGACAGUCAAGAUUGAAUCUUCCCAAUAGUAUUCUGUUACAUUUUGUUGCCAUGCAACAGAUGGCAGCAGAGGAACCAUGACAGAAUUAUGUCUGACGUGCAAGUGCAUAUGAAGCAAAGGAGAGGCAAAGUGAAUCCACUAAAGGGAAGAACAGCCUGAAGUGUCUUCACUGAAGAACUGAAGAGUAGUUACUUUAAAAUGUGCUCUACUGAAUACCAGAAAACUGCUCCUGACUGCUUGUGCUGUUUGCCACCCUGUGUCUCUGCUUUUUCUGAAAUUUAUAUCUUCCAAGAGAGAGGACAGUAUUUGUGAUCUCGGCAGGCUGCUGAACAGUUCUGAGUGGUACAGACAACCUCUUAUCUCUACAUGACAAUAAAAAUAAAAAAUAAGAAUAAUGAUUAAAAAAAAAAGUAAAAAGCUAAGCAGAAGCUGGAGUUCUAAUCCCUUUGAAGACAAACUGAGUUCAGAUGAGUGUACACAUACUGACAUGCCAAGGUGGCAAAAGUGUCUCUGAUCACACUGAUCAGUGACGAAAAAGAAAGCUCAGAGUGGCACAACAUAACUUUUUCUUCUGGGCAUUGUGGCUACUCUCAGCCUUGUGUGAACCUACCUCUCAUUCAGCAUUUAGAUUUAGCAUUUGGAUGAAAAUCCAUUAUAUGGCAAGGUUCUGGUAUUAAGGGGGCUGCUGUGGAAGCCUCUGUGAGCAGAGCCCAACAUUGGUCCAUGUCAAAUCAAAGACAGCUCCAGCUGCUCCAAAAGAGACCUAGCACUGGGCAGAGCAAUGCUGGGUGUGCUCUGGGAGACCAGAUUUAAGAAAGGGAAAAACAUAUUGCACAAAAGCAGAUGGGAGAGAGCAGUGAGAAAUGAGAAACAGCCCUGCAGGCACCAAGGUCAAUGCAGGAGGGCUGGAGGUGCUCCAGUGUUGUGGUUUAACCUGACAGCUGGCUCAGCACUACACAGACGUUCAUUCACUCCUCCCCUUCCCAGUGGGGAAAGAAUUAAAAAAGAAAAAAAAAGAAAAGAAAAAAAAGAAGAAGAAGAAGAAAAAAAAGAACUAAUUGGUUGAGAUAAAACUAUUUACUAAGAUAGAUACAUGGAAAAGGAUAAUAAUGCACACAUAACCAAUGAGCAGCUGAACAUGGAGCAACAGAAGAGAAAGACAUGAACUCCCACCCCUCUUCAAAACUCUCCCAUUUGAUGUCAUAUGGUAUGGAAUAUCCCUUUGGGCAAUUUAAGUCAUCAACUUGCAACUGUGUUCUCUACCAUGGCAGCAACAUCUUUCCAUAGUAAAGCAGCCUGGAUGGAUUUGUCUCUGCACUUCCUGUUGCUCUGCUUCCAUUACUAUAACCAUCCCCAUGGGGCAUUUACCACCAUCCAGGAGUCCGUGUAGAGGUAGAGUACUGGCCACUUCUCUCAUUCAACUAUGUCUCUCUCAUUCACAGCAUCAUACAAGACACUCCAAAGAAAACAACUCAAUCCUGGAUGAAAUUAGGACAUUUAGUCACCAAGCAGAAGCUCCCUGCAUCUCAGGAGAGGUCCAUAGAGGAGCAGGCUGUCCCUUUGCAGUCCAUGGGCACCACAGGGAGCAGAUCUCCAGGUGCAGCAUGGAGGAGAUCAAGGUGUAGCAGUGGAUGUGUGCUGGAGGAUGAUGCAGACUGUGGAGAGCCCCUACAGGUUCUGGGCUGGAGUUGCAACCUGUGGAAAGGAGCCCAAGCUGGAGCUGGUUUCCUAGUAGGAACUAGGGCCCAUGGAGUAUCAACGUAGGAGCAAUCUGUUCCUGAAAGACUGCACUCCAUGUUGGAAUUGCAGCCCAAUAUGGGAAGGAUGCUUAUUAUAUCAUUAUAUUAUAUAGGCACUUCCAUGCUGGAGAUCUGGAUGAGUGUAAAGGGGAACAGGAGGCAGAAAAGGUGUCAUGAACUGGCCACAGUUCCCAUUCCCCAUGAUCUUUUACAACUUAGGGCAGGUGGAGGUAGAAGAAUCAAGACUGAAGAUGAGCUUUUUUACCAAUUAGUUUGCUCAUGAUGGUAAAUAUGACCCCUUUCAGUCACAUUUCAGUGACUGUUUUUUUCAUCAUUUCAGUUCACAGUUUUUUUCAUGAUGUUUCCUCCCCCUUUUUGUGGUCUUGUGAGUGAAAGAGCAGUGUAGCGGGCAUGUGGUGACCAGCCAAGUUGAAAUCCUGGUCAUGAAAUGAGCAGGAUGUUGUGUCAGAAGAUUUCUUUCAUGAGUUUAUCUACAACUUGCAGUAACUUGGUACAAAUAAAAACUUUGAAUGUGCAAGAAAUGUAUUCCAAUUUGUUGAUCAUACUCUCAAGGUUUCUGCUACUGAAGUAUCCUUUGCCUUCUACAAUUAUAUUAUUAACAUUUAGCUUGUUUAAAAAAAACAAACAAAUUACCAUCAUAGAAAUACGUGAAAGAAGGAAGUGAAAGGUAUGGGAUAUGUUAUCAAACUGAUAGAAUGGCAGCUGAUAAAAUGUCACCUGAAAGACUUACCAGAAAGUAAAAAUUUAUGA